CUCAGUUCAACAAUUGUCUUACAAAUGGAGCCAUAUUGAGGAAAAGAGCAGCAGGCUCAGGAGCAGGGUAUGAGCUGCCUUUAGGGCUCCAGUCAAUGCCUCAGUGCUCAGAUGGCACUGCGGGCUUCUUCUUUGCCAAGAGGCAGACCACAGGCCAUCUUGAGGAGGACUUUAUUAUAUUCAAGUGCAGAAAGCAGAAAGAAUUUCCACCCAGGGGCCUAGGUCUUCUGUGGCCCUGACCAGACUUAGAGUUUGGCCUCAGGCAGGACAAGCUCACCUGGAGCAGGUGGAGCAGCUGCCAACCUCACCCACUCAAUGAAGCAGGGAUGACCAGUUUCCAACAGCCUGAGUGGCUGCCACCUGAUGGCUGAUGGAGCAGAAGCCUGAGGAAAAGCAGAUGGCACUGGGGCCCUACCUCUAUGGUAGAACUGAUGUACCAUGAGCGGCAGUGAGUGAGGUUUGUGGCUGGUCCACUGGCUCCUGGCACACCCUUGCAGAGGUGGCUGGUUGCUCUUUGAGCCAGCUUGGCCUUGUGUGGCAUGCACAAGCCUCAGUGCAACAAUUGUCUUACAAAUGGAGCCGUAUAGUGGAGAGGAGUAGCAGGCUCAGGAGCAGGGUGUGCACUGCUUUUAGGGCUCCAGUCAAUUCCUCAGGGCUCAGAUGGCACUGCGGGCUUCUUGGUUGCAAAUAGGGAGACCACAUGACGUCUUGAGGAGGACUUUAUGUUCAAGUGCAGAAAGCAGCCAGGAUUUCCACCCAAGGGACUCGGCCUUCUGUGGCCCUGGCCAGACUUAGAAUUUGGCCCCAGGCAGGACAAGCUCUCUCAGAGCAGCACUUUGGUACCUGCAGUCUGUGCAUGCCAGGCAAGGCCAAGCUGGCUCAAAGGGCCACCAGCCAUCUCUGCAAGGGUGCACCCGGAACAGGUGGAGCAGCCAUCAACCUCACCCACUCAAGGAAGCAGGGAUGGCCGGAUUCCAACAGCCUGAGUGACUGCCACCUGAUGGCUGAUGGAGCAGAGACCUGAGGAAAAGCAGAUGGCACUGAGGCCUUACCCCUGGGGUAGAACAAAUGAUGUACCCUGACUGCCAGUGAGAUUGGUGGCUGGUCCAUGGGCUCCUGGCACACCCUUGCAGAGGUGGUUGGUUGCUCCAUGAGCCAGCUUGGCCUUGUCCUGCAUGCACAAGCCUCAUUGUGACAAUUGUCUUAUAAAUGGAGCCAUAUAGAGGAAAUGAGCAGCAGGCUCAGGAGCACGGUGUACCCUGCCUUUAGGGCUCCACUCAAUUCCUCAGGGCUCAGAUGGCAUUCUGGGCUUCUUUCCUGCCAAGGCUCAGACGACAGGCCAUCUUGAGGAAGACUUUAUGUUCAAGUGCAGAAAGCAGCCAGGAUUUCCACCCAGGGGCCUAGGUCUUCUGUGGCCCUGGCAAGACUUAGAAUUUGGCCCCAGGCAGGACCAGCUCACUCAGAGCAGCAUGUUGGUGCCUGGGGUCUAUGCAUUCCAGGGAAAACCAAGCUGGCUCAAAGAGCAACCAGUGACUUCUGCAAGGGUGCACCUGGAUCAGUUGCAGUAGCCACCUACCUCACCCACUCAAGGAAGUAAGGAUGGCCAGGUUCCAACAGCCGGACUGUCUGCCACCUGAUGGCUGAUGGAGCUGAGGCCUGAGGAAAAUCGGAAGACACUGGGGCCCUACCUCUAGGGUAGAGGAACUGAUGUACCCGACCGGCAGUCAGUGGGAUUGGUGGCUGGUUCACCAGCUCCUGGCACACCCUUGGAGAAGUGGCUGGUUUCUCUUAGAGUCAGCUUGGCCUUGCCCCGCAUGCACAAGUCUCAGUGCAAUAACUGUGCUACAAAUGGAGCCAUAUAGAGGAAAUGAGCAGCAGGCUUAGGAGCAGGGUGUGCAGUGCCUUUGGGGCUCCAGUCCAUGCCUCAGGGCUCAUAUGGCACUGCGGGCUUCUGGUUUUAAAGAGGCAGACCACAGGCCUUCUUGAGGACUUCGUGUUCCAAAACAGAAAGCAGCCAGGAUUACCACCCAGGGGACUCGGCCUUCAGUGGCCUUGACCAGACUUAGAAUUUGGCCCAAGGCAGGACAAGCUCACUCAGAGGAGCAUUUCAGUAGCUGGGGCCUCUGCAUGCCAGGUGAGGCCAAGCUGGCUCAAAGAACAACCAGCCACCACUGCAAUGGUGCACCUGGAACCGGUGGACCAGCCAGAAACCUCACCUACUGAAGGAAGCAGGGAUGGCCAGAUUCCAACAGCCUGAGUGGCUGCCACCCGAUGGCUGAUGGAGCAGAGGCCCGAGGAAAAGCAGAUGACACUGAGGCCUUGCCACUAGGGUAGAAGAAAUUAUGUACCUUGACCGGCAGCGAGUGAGGUUGGUGGCUGGUCCACGGGCUCCUGGCACACCCUUGCAGAGUUGGCUGGUUGCUCUUUGAGCCAGCUCGGUCUUGCCUGGCAUGCACAUACCUCAGUGCAACAAUUGUAUUACAAAUGGGGCCAUAUAGAGGAAAGGAGCAGCAGGCUCAGGAGCAGGGUGUGCACUGCCUUUAGGGCUCCAGUCAAUUCCCCAGGGCUCAGAUGGCACUGCGGGCUUCUUUGUUGUCAAGAAGCAGACCACAGGCCGUCUGAAGGAGAACUUUAUAUUCAAGUGAAGAAAGCAGCCAGGAUUGCAAUCCAGGGGUCUAGGCUUUCUGUGACCCUUUCCAGACUUAGAAUUUGGCCUCAGGCAGGACAACUCACUCAGAGCGGUACGUGGGUAGCUGGGGCCUGUGUAUGACAGGCAAGGCCAAGCUGGUUCAAAGAACAGCCUGCCACCUUGGCAAGGGUGUGCGUGUAGCAGUUGGACCAGUCACCAACCUCACACACUGAAGGAAGCAGGGAUGGUCAGGUUCCCAAAGCCUGAGUGCCUGCCACCUGAUGGCUGCUGGAGCAGAGGCCUGAGGAAAGCAGAUGGCACUGAAGCCCUACCUCUAGGAUAGAAGAAAUGAUGUAUGCUGAACGGCAGUGAGUGAGGUUGGUGUGCUGGUCCACCGGCUCCUGGCACACCCUUGCAGAUUUGGCUCAUUGCUCUUUGAUCCAGCUUGGCCUUGCCAGAGUAAUGAUUCUCACUGUGGAGUCAUUUGAUUAAUAAGACCCAUUGGCAUAAGAUUACAUCCUCUGACUACAAAAAUCCUGGAAGAAAAACUGGGAAAUAUUCUUCUGGACAUUGCACUUCGCAAUGAAUUUGUGGAGACCUUCAGAUAGAAAAUGCAGUUCAAAGAUAUUUCAUAAAGGAAGAAAAGAAGUAUGAAGACAGGAUAGCAAAUACAGAAAGAAUUCUUGUGAUAAUAGAGAACACAGAACUGUUGAACGGUGUUGAAGCUGAGCUGGAGAGAGUCACCAAAGCUGGCACGGAAGCUGGCAAGGUCGGAGAGUUUCCUGCCUGGACACAGCUUGAGCUCACCCCUGCGCCACCACCAGUGGCAGAAACUGCAGACCCAGCUGGGCCCUGAGGCCUCCGCCCCAUCCUCCCACCAGCCAGGAACUGUGCUGAGGUCGCAGAUAGGCGACCCUGGAGGGGUGCGCCUGAGGGAAGGCGGCCCAUGUUCCGGACAGCAGCAGGACACCAGGAUCCAGGGACCCACCUCCCACCGCGGGAACCCCAAACCUUGCCUGGCGCCCCUUGCUUGCUCCGCCUGGCCUCCAGGGGCCGGUGUGUGUCCUGGUCAUGAGGAUGCACAGCAGGUGCCCGGGAGUCCCCCUCCGCCAUGGCCUACCGCUCUGCCAGCCAUCACGCCUGGUUCCCAGACCGCAGCGCAGCCUGGCUGCCUCUGAUCCCGCCAGGCCGGGACCUGUCCUCCUCCUGGGCGACCAGCCGGGGGAAUGCACACUGCCCGGUGGCCUGCACAGCCCCUGACCGCCCAUCCCCUCUGGCGCCUCCGCCCCAGGCCAGGACCUUCCUGUAGCACAGAACCCACCUUCCUUCCCGCCUCAGAGCUGCUCCGCUUCCGCCACCCACAGGGAAAAACUCAGAUCUCCAAACAAACAGAAAUCCGCGUGUGACUCCUCUGGUUGGAUACUGCCAGUCCCCACAUUUACUUCCAGGAGUUUUCUUAGCAGAAGGUGUCCGGCAUUUGAUGUUUCGCCAGCGAUGAGGCUGAAAAGUGACAGCAAUAGAGAAACACAUCAGGCUUUCCGCAACAAAGAUGACCUUCCCUUCUUCAAAUCUCAGCAAUCUCCAAGGCCCACAAAGGACUCAGGACAAGAUGACUGAGCUGGAGUACUCGGCCCAGGAAAUGCAGGCCCAGAGUGGGUCACCUCCUUAGGGCAGGCCCAGCCUUCUCCUGGCUGCCUGGGUGCCUUUCUCCUCACUCCCACCCAAUGCAGGGGACCCCACAAACUCGGCUCUCGGGGCUCCCUGCACCUCCCUCCACAGGAGCCACCUCCUGCCCGCCAAGCUGGGGCCUUCUGGGGCAUCCUGGGCUGAGAGGGCAAGGUGCCAGCUCUGCACGCUGGAGAAGGAACACCGCUACACUGUCACACUGACACACCGCCACACGAAGACACUACCACACGGGCACACCACCACAUGGCCACAUGGACAGACACACACAUGGAGAUGUCACCAUACGGACACACAGACACACCACCACACUGUCACAUGUACAGACACACGGAGACAUUACGACACGGACACACUGCCACACUGUCACAUGGAAGGACAGACAGACAUACGGAGAAGUCACCACACAGGCACAGCACCAGACUGUCACACGGACACAGACACACGGAGACAUCACCAUAAGGACACACGACCACAUACCACAGGGACACACAGACACACAGAGACAUUACCACACUGUCACAGGGACACACCAUCACUCUCACACGAACACACAGACACACUGCCACAUGGACACUGCCACACACACAGACACACCGCCACACUGUGACAUGGACACACCUCCACACUGUCAGAUACCACCACACAGACACUGCCACGUGGACACAAGGACACACAGGCACAUUGUCACCUGGAUACACAAACCUGGGAAGCCACAUCUGAAGGAACUGCCAGGUGACUAGGGCCAUAAGUCAAUCAAAGUAGACUUUCCCUGGCUUGCAUACAAGUCAUUUAAACUGUGGUGAGAUGGUAUCUCAUUGUAGUUUUAAUUUGCAUUUCUCUGAUGAUCAGUGAUACUGAGCACCAUU